rnacentral:rRNA from 1 species
UGAGGAAUAUUGGGCAAUGCCCGAAAGGGUGACCCAGCAACGCCGCGUGGAGGAUGAAGGUCGUAAGAUUGUAAACUCCUGUUAGAGGGGAAGAAUAACUAAGUUUGGAGCUUAGUAUGACUGUACCCUCAGAGAAAGCCCCGGCUAACUACGUGCCAGCAGCCGCGGUAAUACGAAGGGGGCAAGCGUUGUCCGGAUUUACUGGGUGUAAAGGGCGCGCAGGCGGAAUGGAAAGUCAGUGGUGAAAUCCUACAGCUUAACUGUAGAACUGCCUUUGAUACUUUCAUUCUUGAGUUCGGGAGAGAGAGACGGAAUUCCAGGUGUAGUGGUGAAAUACGUAGAUAUCUGGAAGAACACCAGUUGCGAAGGCGGUCUCUUGGUCCGAUACUGACGCUGAGGCGCGAAAGCGUGGGGAGCAAACA